rnacentral:rRNA from 1 species
UACGAAGGGGGCGAGCGUUGUUCGGAAUUACUGGGCGUAAAGGGCGCGUAGGCGGCCCCUUUUGUCGCGUGUGAAAGCCCCGGGCUCAACCUGGGAGGUGCGCGCGAAACGGGGGGGCUUGAGUACGGGAGAGGUGUGUGGAACUCCGAGUGUAGAGGUGAAAUUCGUAGAUAUUCGGAAGAACACCAGUGGCGAAGGCGACACACUGGCCCGUUACUGACGCUGAGGCGCGAAAGCGUGGGGAGCAAACAGG